UGCCCCGUGGCUGAGUUGGUUACAGCGUCCGACUGUUAUCUCUGCAAUCCCAACCCUUACUUCCGGUUGUGCAGCUAAGUGGCAUCGGAAGGUCGUGAGUUCGAGCCUCACCGGGGCAG